rnacentral:rRNA from 1 species
GCGCAACCCUUGUCCUUAGUUACCAGCACGUUAUGGUGGGCACUCUAAGGAGACUGCCGGUGACAACCGGAGGAAGGUGGGGAUGACGUCAAGUCAUCAUGGCCCUUACGGCCUGGGCUACACACGUGCUACAAUGGUCGGUACAAAGGGUUGCCAAGCCGCGAGGUGGAGCUAAUCCCAUAAAACCGAUCGUAGUCCGGAUCGCAGUCUGCAACUCGACUGCGUGAAGUCGGAAUCGCUAAUAAUCGUGAAUCAGAAUGUCACGGUGAAUACGUUCCCGGGCCUU